CUAACCUUGACAUAUGGCGAUCCAGGUACAUCCCCGGGCACUCAGUCGCUGCCCCAACCCCAACCCUAACCCUUAGUACACCCCAACCCUUGUUGUAGCUCUUCAAAAGCCCCAGCCAUCAAGGUCUCCCUGGAUGGCCUUAUAGCUCCUCUCUUUAUUAAUACUCUAUGUAAGCUAGCCCACCCCACUCACCAAGGCCAGGACUCUCUCUCUCUCUCUCUCUCUCUUUCUGAGAUUUCUAACUACAUAUCUUCUAGUUGUUACCAUUCCUCCGUUCUCUAGCUCUUUCCAUCUCUUUUGCUACCAUCUCCCUUUCAGCAAGGUGAGGAAGCUAUCAAAAAAACAAAAACAAGGUGAGAAAAGCUUGUGGGUCCUUCAAAUUUGUUCCAUGGAGCAUGUAAAAUCCCAUCAACUCCUCUUUCUAACCUGUAGUCCUCACUUGCAAUUAUUCUACUCCAGGCUCACUACAAUGAGCAAGGUCAACCACGAUACCAAAGUUGCCAUGACAAAUUUUGCGAGAAUUGGGGUAUAUGGUAGUGGGAUGCUCGACUUCCUCGGUGACUUCAUCCAUGGAAGCAGAAAGUUUUCAAUAAAACCAGCCGAGGUUCCUUGUUACUAAUGCCUUAAAAGGUGCUAUCCUACCUGUGCUUUUCCGUCGACGUCCACAUCUACCCUUAUUCUUCUUCAAACACUCCUCUCGCAACCUUGCAAGUUUGGGGUUUUCUUGACCUUGUAAGACCUUUUCUUGACCUUGUAAGACCCUACUCUCGGUUGGUUAUUCUCUUCUCCUUCUCUACCACGAGCCACCUCCUUGCCCUCAUUGACCAAUUCUAGAUCUCUAUAUUCCUCCCUUCUCCGCCACCUCUUGCUCUCCUUUCCUGUCUAUCCCUUCUGAGCUGAGCUGUUAAGAAUAAAAAUAUGGGAAUGCAAUAUUCACCUGGCAAUAUGUAAUAUAUAUACAGUACAAAGCAAUAUAUAAAUAUGAUCUCAUGAUUUAUUGGAAUGUAUAUGGUAUGCCAUC